GGGGCCAUAGCUCAGUUGGUAGAGCACUUGCCUUGCAUGCUUGAGGCCCUGGGUUCAAUCUCCAGCACCA
rnacentral:tRNA from 1 species